UACAGAGGGUGCGAGCGUUAAUCGGAAUUACUGGGCGUAAAGCGCACGUAGGCGGCUUUGCAAGUCGAGUGUGAAAUCCCCAGGCUUAACCUGGGAACUGCAUUCGAGACUGCAUAGCUAGAGUAUGGGAGAGGGAAGUGGAAUUUCAGGUGUAGCGGUGAAAUGCGUAGAUAUCUGAAGGAACAUCAGUGGCGAAAAGCGACUUCCUGGACCAAUACUGACGCUCAUGUGCGAAAGCGUGGGGGAGCAAACAGG
rnacentral:rRNA from 1 species